rnacentral:rRNA from 1 species
CUACCAAGGCGACGAUCGGUAGCUGGUCUGAGAGGAUGAUCAGCCACACUGGGACUGAGACACGGCCCAGACUCCUACGGGAGGCAGCAGUAGGGAAUUUUGCACAAUGGGCGCAAGCCUGAUGCAGCAAUGCCGCGUGAGUGAAGAAGGCUCUUGGGUUGUAAAGCUCUUUCGGCUGGGAAGAUGGGGUUGCCUGCGAACAGUUGGCAAUUCUGACGGUACCAGAAGAAGAAGCACCUGCUAACUACGUGCCAGCAGCCGCGGUAA